rnacentral:rRNA from 1 species
GCAACCUGCCGUGAAGUGGGGGAUAGCUCGCCGAAAGGCGAAUUAAUACCGCAUAUGGCCAAGGAAGACAUCUUCCUGACGCCAAAGCCGGGGUAACCUGGCGCUUCUCGAGGGGCUCGCGGCCUAUCAGCUUGUUGGUGGGGUAACGGCUCACCAAGGCUAUGACGGGUAGCUGGUCUGAGAGGACGACCAGCCACACUGGAACUGAGACACGGUCCAGACACCUACGGGUGGCAGCAGUCGAGAAUUUUUCACAAUGGGGGAAACCCUGAUGGAGCGACGCCGCGUGGAGGAUGAAGGUUUUCGGAUCGUAAACUCCUGUCAUUAGAGAACAAGGCACAUGGUUUAACUGGCCGUGUGUUGAUAGUAUCUGAAGAGGAAGGGACGGCUAACUCUGUGCCAGCAGCCGCGGUAAUACAGAGGUCUCAAGCGUUGUUCGGAUUCAUUGGGCGUAAAGGGUGCGUAGGUGGCGAGGUAAGUCGGAUGUGAAAUCUCCAAGCUCAACUUGGAAACUGCAUUCGAUACUGCUUUGCUAGAGGAUUGUAGAGGGCAUUGGAAUUCACGGUGUAGCAGUGAAAUGCGUAGAUAUCGUGAGGAAGACCAGUGGCGAAGGCGAAUGCCUGGGCAAUUCCUGACACUGAGGCACGAAGGCCAGGGGAGCAAACGGGAUUAGAUACCCCGGUAGUCCUGGCAGU